CCUACGGGUGGCAGCAGUAAGGAAUAUUGGUCAAUGGACGAAAGUCUGAACCAGCCAUCCCGCGUGCAGGAUGAAAGCCCUAUGGGUUGUAAACUGCUUUUAGCAGAGAAGAAAAGCUUUCAUUAAUGAGAGUCUGACGGUAUCUGCAGAAUAAGCACCGGCUAACUCCGUGCCAGCAGCCGCGGUAAUACGGAGGGUGCGAGCGUUAUUGGGUAUUACGGGUGCGUAAGGGGGGUAUUACGGAGGUGGUGAAAUCUUGUCGCUUAACGAUACAAUUGCCAAUGAUACUGGUACUCUUGAAUUGGGUUGAGGUUAGCGGAAUGUGACAUGUAGCGGUGAAAUGCAUAGAUAUGUCAUGGAACACCAAUUGCGAAGGCAGCUAACCGGGCCUUGAUUGACGCUGAGGCACGAAAGCGUGGGUAGCGAACAGGAUUAGAUACCCUUGUAGUC
rnacentral:rRNA from 1 species